rnacentral:rRNA from 1 species
UGGGGAAUAUUGCACAAUGGGCGCAAGCCUGAUGCAGCCAUGCCGCGUGUAUGAAGAAGGCCUUCGGGUUGUAAAGUACUUUCAGUCGGGAGGAAGGUGGUAAGGUUAAUAACCUUAUCAAUUGACGUUACCGACAGAAGAAGCACCGGCUAACUCCGUGCCAGCAGCCGCGGUAAUACGGAGGGUGCAAGCGUUAAUCGGAAUUACUGGGCGUAAAGCGCACGCAGGCGGUUGAUUGAGUCAGAUGUGAAAUCCCCGGGCUUAACCCGGGAAUUGCAUCUGAUACUGGUCAGCUAGAGUCUUGUAGAGGGGGGUAGAAUUCCAUGUGUAGCGGUGAAAUGCGUAGAGAUGUGGGGGAAUACCGGUGGCGAAGGCGGCCCCCUGGACAAAGACUGACGAUCAGGUGCGAAAGCGUGGGGAGCAAACAGG